AAAAAGGACCUCUGUUGUGAGUGGCUCAUGUGGGACAGUUUGCUUGCUCUUUGUGAAGAAUCGAUAUCAAGUGAUUUUGGAAGCCUAAUUUUUUGGUACUUGUGGAGCUGGUGACCAUUGGUCCCAGCACCCCU